rnacentral:lncRNA from 1 species
CGAGAUACUCUUAAUUUCAAGGUAUGACAACUGUGCAUGGCUGUCCAGAGUGUGGCUUAUCUGUCAUGUUACUGUCACUACUGCUGGUCUCCAUAAAGGUUCAGCAAGCAUCGAUGGAUGUCAGUGGGUGCAAGCUUUAAGCUGAGAUUGCUUUCAAUCAAGAUGCUGGAAGACUACCACUGAAUAGGCAUUUCAGCAGGUAAACCUGACGUUUACUUUCCUUAAGAACUCUUUAUUUUUUACUAAGUUCAGGAGGAAAAAAACAACUUUCAUACAGAACUAUCAUGUACACCUGUUACAUGACAGUUUUGCUUGCAGUGGCAUCACUUUGUGUUUUGGAUCUUUAAAGUUUUUCCAGAUGAAACCUAUUUAGUAGAUCUGAAUGUUAGUAGCAACAUUUAAA